GGCGCUAUAGCCAAGUGGUUACGGCGACAGAUUAGAAUGAAUAGCUGUUAGGUCCCAAAUCUGUUCCUCUUUGAGGGCGCAGGUUCGAAUCCUGCUGGCGUCG